CGCUGGCGGCAGGCCUAACACAUGCAAGUCGAGGGAGAAGCUGACUUCGGUCAGUGGGCACCGGCGCACGGGUGAGUAACGCGUGGAAACCUACCCCGGGGUGGGGGAUAACCGCUGGAAACGGCGGCUAAUACCGCAUACGCCUUUUAAGGGAAAGAUUUAUCGCCCUGGGAUGGGUCCGCGUUAGAUUAGGUAGUUGGUGGGGUAAAGGCCUACCAAGCCGACGAUCUAUAGCUGGUCUGAGAGGAUGAUCAGCCACACUGGGACUGAGACACGGCCCAGACUCCUACGGGAGGCAGCAGUGGGGAAUCUUGGACAAUGGGGGCAACCCUGAUCCAGCCAUGCCGCGUGAGUGAAGAAGGCCUUAGGGUUGUAAAGCUCUUUCAACGGUGAAGAUGAUGACUGUAGCCGUA
rnacentral:rRNA from 1 species